rnacentral:rRNA from 1 species
UACGUAGGGGGCAAGCGUUGUCCGGAUUUAUUGGGCGUAAAGAGCGCGUAGGCGGCCCUGUAAGUCCGCUGUGAAAGUCAAGGGCUCAACCCUUGGAUGCCGGUGGAUACUGCAGGGCUAGAGUCCGGAAGAGGCGAGUGGAAUUCCUGGUGUAGCGGUGAAAUGCGCAGAUAUCAGGAGGAACACCGAUGGCGAAGGCAGCUCGCUGGGCCAUUACUGACGCUGAGGAGCGAAAGCGUGGGGAGCGAACAGG